rnacentral:rRNA from 1 species
UACGGAGGGGGCUAGCGUUGUUCGGAAUUACUGGGCGUAAAGCGCACGUAGGCGGAUAUUCGAGUCGGGGGUGAAAUCCCGGGGCUCAACCCCGGAACUGCCUUCGAUACUGGAUGUCUAGAGGUCUGGAGAGGUGAGUGGAAUUCCGAGUGUAGAGGUGAAAUUCGUAGAUAUUCGGAGGAACACCAGUGGCGAAGGCGGCUCACUGGCCAGAUACUGACGCUGAGGUGCGAAAGCGUGGGGAGCAAACAGG